rnacentral:rRNA from 1 species
UAAACAAAUUUGUACUGUGAAACUGCGAAUGGCUCAUUAAAUCAGUUAUAGUUUAUUUGAUGGUACAUUACUACAUGGAUAACUGUGGUAAUUCUAGAGCUAAUACAUGCAUAAAAAUCCCAACUUACGAAGGGAUGUAUUUAUUAGAUACAAAACCAAUUCGUGGUAACACGAUAUUGGUGAGUCAUAAUAACUUUUCGAAUCGCAUGGCCUUGUGCCGGCGAUGCAUCAUUCAAAUAUCUGCCCUAUCAACUUUGGAUGGUAGGAUAGAGGCCUACCAUGGUUUUAACGGGUAACGGGGAAUAAGGGUUCGAUUCCGGARAGGGAGCCUGAGAAACGGCUACCACAUCCAAGGAAGGCAGCAGGCGCGCAACUUACCCAAUCCCGACACGGGGAGGUAGUGACAAUAAAUAACAAUACAGGGCUCUUUUGGGUCUUGUAAUUGGAAUGAGUACAAUUUAAAUACCUUAACGAGGAACAA